rnacentral:lncRNA from 1 species
GACGGGGAGGGCUAUCCGGGGUCACGAAGGGCCCGAGUCCCCUAAAUUCAGGGGUGCGUGUGCUCCCUUUUGAAGGACUCCCUAAUUCGAUAGGCCUGUGUCUUGCAGUCUGGGGUCAUCAAAGGCUGUUCCUUUCUCCCCAGGACUGACAGGCUCCAACUACCCGGGACUCAGUAUUAGCCUUCGCCUCACUGGCUCCUCUGCACAAGAGGAGGCUUCCGGAGUAGCCCUCGGUGAAGCCCCAGACCACAGCUAUGAGUCCCUUCGUGUGACGUCUGCGCAGAAACAUGUUCUGCAUGUCCAGCUCAACCGGCCCAACAAGAGGAAUGCCAUGAACAAGGUCUUCUGGAGAGAGAUGGUAGAGUGCUUCAACAAGAUUUCGAGAGACGCUGACUGUCGGGCGGUGGUGAUCUCUGGUGCAGGAAAAAUGUUCACUGCAG